GGCCAGAUCGAGCGGAGAAAUGGUGUGUUGUCCUUGAAUCGAAGGAAGACAAACAUAAAGAUGAAGUGCUUAAUUCAAGGUCACACAAUGUCGGGGAUGGACCUCCAGAUUUCCUUACUGGAAAACAAGCUCAGGGCUCCCACUGAUUGUACAUUAUGAGACGGAGUCUUGCUAUGUUGCCCAGGCUGGUCUUGAACUCCUCACCUCAAGCGAUCCUCCCGUCUUGGCCUCCCAAGUGUCAGGAUUACGGGCAUGUGCUAUCACACCCAACCUGAUACAUUGCCUUUAUAAAUUUUUUUUUCUUUAUUCUAAAAACCAGAAAAAACAAAACUGGAUACAUGUGCAGAACAUGCAGCAGGGAAUUUCUUCCACUUGCAGACCAAGUGUGUUGGGGACUUGAGAUGCGUACAUGAGUGUGAUGUUUCCUGCUGAAAGCACAGGUGAGACGUGGUCUUGUAACACAGUGGUUAAGAAUGUGACUUUGGAGCCAGCCUGCUAGGGGCUGAAUUCUGACUCAGCCAUUUACUAACUGUGUGACCUUAGGGAGGAGGACCUGGUUGAUAGAAGAAUUUAUCUCGUAGUCUUAACAUCCACUGUAAUUCCAAACUUUGAGGACGAUAGAGAUCAGUGGGCUUUGACUGCCCAGCAUGCAGUCUCCAUUCUUAGGUGGGUUCCCAAGCCUGUAAAAUGUAAGCCUUAUGCUGCUGAGGGCCAUCUUGCCACCCUGAGGGAAACGCUGCCUGAGAAUGAAACAAGCAUAAGUAAAAGCUGAGCUGUGAGAUGGAGCAAGAUGAAGGCCACAUGACAUCUUUGGAGCACCUGGAUCUAACUGUGCCUUAAGCUAGUCUAACCCUGAACAUUUCA
rnacentral:lncRNA from 1 species